GGGUGCGUCCUCCCUCGGCACGUGUCCUGUCGUGGGGGCUCGCCCGGCUAAAGCCGGAUUCAUCCCGCAUCCUAUCUCCGGAUGCAAGCGGGGGAUCGCAAGUCCUCGCGCUAUAGGGGCGGCCGAUGGCGGAUUAGCUAGUUGGUGGGGUAAAGGCCCACCAAGGCGACGAUCCGUAGCUGGUCUGAGUAGGACGACCAGCCACACUGGGACUGAGACACGGCCCAUACUCCUACGGGAGGCAGCAGUGGGGAAUUUUGGACAAUGGGCGCAAGCCUGAUCCAGCAAUGCCGCGUGUGUGAAGAAGGCCUUCGGGUUGUAAAGCACUUUUGUCCGGAAAGAAAUCCUCUGGGUUAAUACCCCGGGGGGAUGACGGUACCGGAAGAAUAAGCACCGGCUAACUACGUGCCAGCAGCCGCGGUAAUACGUAGGGUGCGAGCGUUAAUCGGAAUUACUGGGCGUAAAGCGUGCGCAGGCGGUGAUGUAAGACCGAUGUGAAAUCCCCGGGCUUAACCUGGGAACUGCAUUGGUGACUGCAUCGCUGGAGUAUGGCAGAGGGGGGUAAAAUCCACGUGUAGCAGUGAAAUGCGUAGAGAUGUGGAGGAAUACCGAUGGCG
rnacentral:rRNA from 1 species